AUGGUGAAAUCAAAACAAUUCAGGAUUGUGCUUUCUACAUCCUUGAUCUUCCUUUUACUUAAUUUCGUCUCUUGUUUCCCUGGAGCGGAGGCGUCUCCACUGAGAGGAAACGGCGGAGAUGAAGGCGCUGCCGAGGUAAUCAAAGACGCUGAAUCCAGAGGUUCAGCGAUAACCGAAAGCGACCCCAGUAACGACACGGUCAUCAAUGUCCCCGACGGUGACCAAAGUUCAUUCGAGGACAUCGAAGACGAAGAGGUAGAGACGCCCCUCGUGGCCGCGAUCCGAACCGAAUGCAGCAGCCUCCAAAACAAACGAACCCGAAAGAUGUGCGAGGCUCUCCUGAAAACGUCCAUGGAAGAACACCCGCUUCAUCUAGAGGCAAACCAAGACACCAUGCAGAACGAGAUUGACUACGAGAGAAGCGAAGAAGACGACAAGAACGGUGUUGCCAGGAGGCGGAGACGAUCGGAAGGAGCAGGUGGCCUGGCGAAGAGCGUUUGCUCCUGGUUGAAAAAUUUGAACCCGGUGAAGAAAAUCAAGAACCGGGGUAGGGACAGGGUUCGCGGAGACGAGUCGAGUGUGGCCAGGCUUGGCGUCGAUACAGAGAGGAGUCUAGAAUCAGGAGGUGCCAACCAUGAGUCGAAGGUUGCGGAAAACGAUGACAGCUCCCUCGCUCUUCCGCUCUUGGUUACACAAAUCAGGAGGGCGGCUACCGGGCGUCCAAGAUUCUACGGUCGAGACCAUGACGAGAACGAACACGAAACAGGUGAAGAGGCACGCGCUGAUGUACCUGAUGGUGACAAGACAGAUCCCAAGGAUAGCAAAGGAAACUCUGAAGAUGUUAAAGAAGACGAUGGGGUUAAGAACGCACAUCCUAAGAUUAAGGACGCACAUCCUGAGGCUAGGAACGCAUACCCUCGGGUGAAGGAAGAAGGAAGCGAUAAAGAUGAGGUUGACGAAAAAGAUGACGCCGAGAAAACUGAGAAAGACCUGAAGGAGACGGAUAAGGUAAAGGAGGACGACGAUUAUGGCGAAGAUGACGAGAAAGAAGAUAAAUCGCCUGUGAAAGGUAGGGCUGAAACUGAUGAUAAGAAGGAAUCUGGUGAGGAUGGUGAUAGCUUGUCCGAGGAGAAAAGGGUGAAAAGGCAGGAUACUGAGGAAAUCAAGGAGAUUUUCAGUUGGCUGAGGCCGGGAGCUAGGUGCUAUUAUUUGAAAUGUACGGGAGCUUACCCACAUAAGAAAGAUUUGGAUAAGGAAGAUAAGUAUGAGAAGAAGGACAAGCAUCCUCGGCAGAAAGCUGCCUUCUAG
rnacentral:lncRNA from 1 species